rnacentral:lncRNA from 1 species
UUCAUGUGACUGAACCCCAGAGAGAGGCUACCUACGUAUCCUUUCGGAAUCAAGUCGAACAUAGUUCAGGAAACUUUGUUUUUUAUUUUCUUUUUGUUUUGGUUGUUGUUUUUUUUACUUAACAUUUUCGGGUUCCAAAGAGGGUAAUCAAAGAAAGUUAACCGGCUCGAAGGGUUUGCAAAGGGUUAACAGUGUUUAGGUAACGGGAAUAAAAGCCUUCGUCAUCCCAAUCGGAGAAUAUUAGCACCGCAGAAGGGUUAAACGUAAUACUUUUUUACUGCGUCCGCAUUGACAGUUGUUUCGGAGUCAUUUCCUUUGAUGUCUCCCAAGUACAAUGCCCCUUUUGGCAACAAUUUUCUUGUAAUGUACGGACCCUUCCAGUUUGGAGCGAACUUUCCUUUUGCUUACUUGUGAUACGGGAGAAUACGCCUCAAAACGAGUUGCCCUACUUCAAAGUUCCUAGGCCGCACUUUCUUGUUGUAGGCACAGGCCAUUCUUUCUCGAUACAAUUGCUCGUGGCAAAUUGUGGCAAUCCGAUUUUCAUCAAUCAGGGUUAACUGUUCUAGACGGGUCUUGACCCAUUCAUUGUCGUCAAUCUCAGCUUCAACGAUGAUUCGAAGAGAUGGAAUUUCAACUUCUGCGGGUAUUACGACUUCAGUUCCAUAAACCAAUAGAUAGGGUGUUGCCCCAACUGAUGUGCGUGCAGUGGUGCGAUAUCCCAACAAUGCAAAAGGAAACUUUUCAUGCCAUUUUCUAGAACUUUGAAUCAUUUUCCUGAGGAUCUUCUCGAUAUUUUUGUUUGCUGCUUCAACAGCACCAUUUGCUUUGGGCCGAUAAGGGGUAGAAUUCCGGUGCGUGAUCUUAAAUUGUUUGCAUACAUCCCUCACCAAAGGACUGUUCAAAUUUGCAGCAUUGUUCGUAAUGAUAGUUUUAGGAAUACCAAAAUGAUAGAUAAUGUUGGAAUGCACGAAGUCCACCACUGCUUUCUUGGUUAUGUCUUUGAGAGUGAAUGCUUCAACCCACUUUGUGAAAUAGUCAAUGGCGACUAAAAUGAAUUUGUGCCCAUUUGAAGCUUUCAGCUCGAUUGGCCCAAUGAACUCAUACCCCAAGCAACAAACGGCCACGGUGCCGACACAAGAUACAGUUCUGAAGGCGGUGCAUGAAUCAGGUCACCGUGUACCUGACACUGAUAACACUUUUCGACAAAACUGAAGCAAUCUUUUUUUAUGGUCAGCCAGUAAUUACCUACCCGAAGGAUUUUCUUUGCAAGGACGUAUCCAUUCAUAUGGGGUCCACACACUCCUGCGUGCACUUCAUUCAUGAUUCUUCCAGCCUCCUAGGUAUCCACGCACCUUAAAAGGUUCAGAUCUGGAAUCCUUUUAUACAAAACUUCUCCGCUCAAGAAGAAACCACUGGCGAGCCUUCUAAUGGUUCUCUUUUGGUCUCCACUGGCCUGCUCGGGAUAUUCUUUUGUUUUCAAAAAUCUUUUGAUAUAAUGAUACCAUGGCUAAAUAUCUGGUUCCAUCUCAACUGUAUUGCAAUAACCAUAUCUUUCUCGGAUUUGGAUUUCCAGUGGGUCAAUGUGGACAUUGCUCGGAUUCAGCAGCAUCGAGGCCAAAAUAGCUAACAUGUCAGCUAACUCAUUGUGGAAUCGAGGGAUGUACCUAAAUUCAACAAAAUUGAACCAUUUGCUAAGCUCUUCAACAUGUUGCAUGUAUGGGAUAAGCUUGAUAUCCUGAGUUUCCCAUUCACCUUGAGCUUGCCAAAUAAUCAAGCCAGAAUCUCCCACGAUUAACAAUUCUUCCACAUCCAUGUCAACUACCAUAUUCAUACCCAUAAUGCAGGCUUCUUACUCAGUAGUGUUUUUUGUACAAAAAGAACCGAAGCUGGGCAGUGGCCGGACAGUGCUGACCACUUGGUGAAAUCAAAAUUUCCUCAAUCCCGACACCUUUUGCAUUUACAGCUCCGUCGAAGAACAUUUUCCAAGCGUUGGUGUCUUCUGGAAUUACCUCAACUGAAUUUACUUCCUUGUCCGAAAAGUAAGUACUCAAAGGCUGAUAUUCAUCAUCAAUAGGAUUUUCAGUUAGGUGAUCAGCCAAGGCUUGAGCUUUCAUUGUCGUGCGGGUGACAUAGACUAUGUCAAACUUGGUGAGCAGGAUUUGCCAUUUUGCUAAACUCCCUGUGGGCAUCGGCUUUUGGAAUAUGUACUUCAAAGGAUCCAAUCUGGUUAUGAGAUAGGUGGUAUUAACCAACAAGAAAUUCCUAAGCUUCUGAGCGACCCAAGUUAAGGCGCAACAAGUUCUUUCCAACAAAGUGUACUUGGCAUCAUAACUAGUGAACUUCAUGCUCAAAAAGUAUAUGGCUUGUUGUUUCUUCACGGUCACAUCAUGUUGCCCGAGAACAUAUCCAAAAGAAUUCUCCAACACUGUCAAGUACAAGAACAAAGGCCUUCCAGGCUUGGGUGGAAGAAACACUGGCGGAUUCAAUAGAUAUUCUUUGAUUUUGUCGAAAGCUUCUUGACACUCCUCUGUCCAUCUAAUUGCCGCAUAUUUUUUCAACAGCUUAAAUAUGGGCUCACAUAUUGAAGUCAACUAAGCAAUGAAUCUGCUGAUCUAAUUCAACCUUCCAAUAGACUCAUAACCUUUUUCUUGGUUCUCAGAGGUGCAAAUCCUGAAUAGACUUUAUCUUUGUUGGAUCUAACUCGAUGCCACUCCGCCUUACUAUAAACUCCAAAAGUUUCCCAGAUGGUACUCCAAAUGCACACUUAGCUGGAUUUAGCUUCAAGUCAUACUUACGCAGGUGCUCAAAGAACUUUUGCAAAUCUUGCACAUGGUCAUCCUAUGUUCUUGAUUUAAUGAUCACAUCAUCCACAUACACCUCAAUUUUCUGGUGCAUCAUGUCAUGAAAAAUGGCUAUCAUAGCUCUCAUGUAAGUUGCCCCGGCAUUUUUUAAACCGAACGGCAUUACCCUAUAACAGUAACUACCCCAAGGUAUGGUGAAAACUAUCUUUUUUGCGUCUUCUUUAUCCAUCAAAACCUGAUGAUAACCGGAAUAAUAAUCCACGAAAGGUUGUAUCUCAUGUUUGGUACAAUUUUCAACAAGGAUGUGGAUGUUUGGUAAUGGAAAGUUAUCCUUGGGGCUUGCUUUAUUCAAAUCUCGAUAAUCAACACACACUUGGGUUUUACCAUCUUUCUUUGGAACCGAGACCACAUUAGCCAACCAUGUGUUGUAUCGGACACUCGGAUCACAUCCGCUUUCAACUGUUUGGUGACUUCUUCUUUGAUCUUGUCACUGAUGUAUAUUUUAAACUUUCUUUGUUUUUUUUGGAUGGGGGGAUAACCGGGGUAAGUUGGCAAUUUGUGCACCACUAAAUCAACACUCAGUCCUGGCUUAUCAUCACAGGACCAGGCAAACACGUCCUUGAAUUCGAACAAAAUUUGGAUCAAUGCAUCUCUAGUUCUUUCAUCAGCGUGAAUACUUAUCAUGGUUUCCUGGAUCUCUUCCGGACUACCCAAAUUAAUUGGCUCGGUUUCAUUUAAGUUUGGCUUAGGCUUAUUCUCAAAUUGUUCCAGUUCUCGAUUUAUUUCUCUAAAAGCCUCAUCUUCAUCAUAUUCCGGUUCUUGACUCAUUAUUUCACAGUUAAACAGUGUAUUAAGAUCUGGGCAUGAAGUCUAUAAGCAUAUCAUGUUAUUUAAGUCUACAUUAUUAGAACUGAAAAGAGAGAUAAGAGAAAAUAACAACAAUCAGAAAGAAUAAAGAAAGAGAUUCAUAGACGAUGAAUUAUUGAUUUCAUUUCAUUGAAUUUGAAGAUAAAAGGGUUUACAUCGGAAUUUAAAAGAUAAUAAACUAAAAACAUUCGAGUUACACCCUGAAAUAACUUGGAAUGCAGAAAAGAUGGCAUGAUUGAACUACCGGGAUUCCCGCCUGACUGGGAACGGAGUAGCCUUCCAAUUUUGAAGCUUGGAAUUGGGCCCAUAUAUUGCACAUCAGCAGUGCUUGAGCCUUCACCCGGCUGGACCAUAUGAGCCUCAUAUAACAUUUGUGUCAUUGCUCCACAGAUAUCUUCGAUUUCUUCAGUCGUAAAGGCCUCUUCUUCUUUUUCUAUGUACAUUGGCUUAACAAAUGUUCUGGCGAGAAGCGGGACCGGCUGAGGCAGAACCCACCCAUUGUUCUUACGUUUAUUAGCCCAUUUUACGUCGACUUCUGUACCUCAGAAACCGAUACCAAAGAAGUUUUCACUCGCAGUCAAAGUGAUAUGCUCUGUAAUGCCUUGCAAAGAUGCCCCGAGCCCUUUUCCGGGCUUGUAGCCAUGUUUGAUCAUUUCACUAGCGACCAUGUUUUAUGCGUUUGACAAGAAGGGUUGAGGAUACAGGGUUCCUUCCUCACAGUGGUCAACGACAACGAUUUCGAAAGCUUGGUAGACUAUGUGCUCGCUACCUUCCUUAGCCUCCAGACAUGGGAUUGACGAGUCCUUGUAAAUUGAUUGCUCAUCUUCUCCGUGGACCAUUUGGUGGAGAGUAGAGGGUACGACUCCCGCAGCAUGGAUCCAAGGCCUUCCUAGGAGAAAAUUGUAGGAGCUGUCAAUGUCCAAAACCUAAAAUGUUACUUCAAAAUCCAUAAGGCCGAUGGUUAGGAUUAAAUCAAUCUCCCAUAUCGUGUCCCUCUUGAUGCCGUCAGAAGCACGUACGCAAACAUUGUUGGGCCUAAUCCUUUCAGUCCCAAUAUCCAUUCUCUAUAAGGUCGAGAGAGGGCAGAUAUCAACCCCAGAUCCGCCAUCAAACAUAACUCUUUUCACGUAGUAUCCUUCACACUUAACGGUCAAAUGAAGAGCAUUGUUGUGGGCAGCCCCAUCUAGAAGCAAAUCAUUUUGGCUGAAUGAGAUCCAGUUGACUUCAAAAAAUCAUUCUGUCAUUCAUUCCAAUUGCUCAACUGUGGUCUCGACCGGAACAUAUACCUCAUUAAUCGUCUUUAACAGGACUUUUUGAUGCUCAUUCAAACUUAUCAGCAGGGACAAAAGUGAGACCUGAGAGAGGGACUUUAUGAGUUGAUCACUCAUGACGUAGUCAGAAGUUUUCAUCUUUCGGAAUAAUUCCUUUACCUCUUCAACACUAACUGGCUUUUUAAGUGGAAAACGCUUCUGUUUGGUCUUGUUCAAUUCUUCUAUGUUGAGGUACUUCCCAGACGGGUUCGUUUCAUUCAAUUCUCCCAUGAUUUCUUUUCCCUUCUACGUUACCACUACUUUAUUGUAGUUCUAGGGGACGACAAUAGGGUCCUUCAUGGGAUUCUGUGGUGCGUGGCUGAUAACCACGGGCUCAGUCAGCUUGGGUGAAAUUAUCGGCCCCCGCGCCAUAUAAGUCCUUUUUGGUAUGUACAUUUUUGGUACCUUCAGUGUAGCCUUGUUUUGCUCAAACCUUUUGGGACUCAACACGAACUAUUCUUUUCUAUUGGCCCUGGGAACAUAAAUAACGACAUCUAUAGGAGGUACUGCCCCUGUCUUGGCUUCCACAGCCUUUUCUAUGCUUUGUGGAGUGGAGUUGCUCUUCUUCUCAUCUUUAGAUUGGUUUGCUGCCGCUUUGGGCUUCUUUUCAACAUCGGCAAUAGCAAUGAUAACUUUCAAUGCCGGGUCGAAUUCUCCGUCCUCACAAAUCAUCCCAAUAACUAGCCCAUUGUUGUGAGCUGGCAAUAGGUUAUUAGUUACAUUGGGGACCUCCUCAUUCCUCAACACUACUCAUUUUUGCUCUAUUAGAUUUUUGACCGCCCAUUUAAGGGUGCAACAAUCCUUAGUGUCGUGCCCUGCUUCCCCUGAAUGAUAAGCACAUCAGGUACCGGGUCGGUAGGAGGGUGACUCUAGAUUUUUCCUGUUUGGAGCUGCGGGCUUCAACAAACCCAUUUAGACCAACUUUGGGAAUAGGCUGGAAUAUGAUUCACAGAUGGGUGUUAAGUUGGUCUUUUUGGGUAAUUCACGGGCACAUGCGUUAUAUGGAAAAUUAUUCUGUGGCGGACGGGGAUUAUAUGGAGCUUGGUGAGGAGGGUUAUUUCUGGGAGGUGGAGCUCGGUUCUGGUUAUAGUAUUGUUGUGGCCAAGCGUAUGGCUGGGCGUUCAUCACCGAAUAAGGCUAAUGAGUCAUGGAAUAUGCCGCAUCUUGGUGGGGAUAGUAAUAUUGUGGGGUGCUGAAAUAGGAAUCAAUGUAACAUCGGGGUUGACGGGCGUUUCUCAAACUUGAGGCCAUCAUUGCUUCUUCUUCUUCUUCUUCUUUCUUUUUCAGGUUUGUUGCACCUCCGACCCGCUCUGGAUUGCUUGAGAGGUGGCUCUUAUAGCCGACUGGCUCAGGAUGCGACCCAUUUUCAAACCAUUCUCUGCCAUUUCCCCAAUCUUUAUGGCUUCUGCAAACAGCUUGCCUAUAGCGAACAUCAUGUUCUGGAAGUAAUUAGCCUCUUGGGCUUGCAAGAAGACACUGACCAUCUCAGCCUGAUCCAUUGGGGGUUUCACCCUGGCAGCUUGUUCAUGCCACUUGAUGGCAUACUCUCGGAAGCUCUCUGAAGACUUCUUCUUGAAAAUGGACAGAGAGUUUCUAUCUGGAGCUAUGUCCACGUUGUACUGGAACUGUCUGACAAAGUCUCAGGACAAGUCAUCCCAUAUGUGCCAGUGGGAGAUGUCUUGGUCCAUAUACCAUUCGGAUGCAAUUCCAGCUAAACUCUCCCUGAAAUAAGCCAUCAAGAGUUCUUCUUUUUCGCCCGCUCCUCUUAACUGAUUGCAAUACCUUUUCAGGUGGGCUAUGGGGUCUCCAUGUCCAUCAUAUCUUUUAAAUUUUGGAGUCUUAAAACGAUGGGCAGAUGAACAUGAGGGAACAUGAACAAGUCAGCAUAUGAGACACUCUUCUGGCCACUCAGGCCUUGUAUGUUCUUGAGACUUUGUUCUAUGCUUUUAAUUUUCCCAGUGAUCUCUUCUUGCUUGGGAUUCUUUACAGUUCCCUCUUGUCCCGUGGUAAACUCAUACCGAGGUUGUUGAGGGUAGGAGUUUGGGGUGACUUGAGCCGUGUCCGAUUGAAAUGGUGGUAUUUGGAAAGUAAAGGAGGACGGCUCGAAACUUGGCCUAGGCACUGUUGGUUGUGUCAUAGCAAAGGUUGUUGGUGCGGUGAAUAUGUUAGAAAACAUUCCUGAAAUCAUUACCUGGGGGAGAACCUCAGAAGGCGUUGGGGUAAAUUGGUUGACAUAGUGGGAUAUCCGAAUGGGGUGGCCGGGUAGCUUAUAGGGACAUUGGAGGUUCCACUUGUUCUGGGGAUCAGCUCGGAAAAACCAGGUAUUGCGCUGGGCGGCUCCCUACCGUUAGACCAAGCGUCCCACAUUUCCAACAUGCGGAGGCGCAGUACCCUGUUCUCUUCAGUAGUUGCUGACUUUGACGUCGGGAUAACCGACAAUGGGCUAUCCUCUGAGGGGGUAAUUGUUGGUACAUGACUCUCUGACGUCAUUUCGAUAAUUCCUUUGGAUCUUGUAAAAAAGGGUGCGAAGCCAGGUUACCACAAAACCAACCACCUAAAAAACAGAACUUGUUCUCAACAACAUACAUAACAAACCGGUUAGUUUGAGACAAUUUAACACAUAGGAAAUCGCACGUUGGAGAAUGCAAUGCACCUAGACAGUUAAAUGUUUUUCUACAUGUUUUGCAACGGUUGCAUGUCUCAUCCCGAAUUUUGUGACCUCCCAGAUCUUUGAAUCUUUUCUUUUCUUUUGCGCUUUUCAUUAUUUGCUCUCUUUUCUUUGCACUCUCUCUUUUGCAUUGUUUUCCCUCUUAUUCUUGUUUUCUCUCUUUUCCUUGUGUCCUCUUUUCAUCAUUUUCUCUCUUAUUUGAGUUAUUUAUAGCGAUGACCGGAUCCGAUGGGGAUUGCCUACGUAUCACGACGCCGCAUGAAUCAUAUAAUUACAUAGUUUAGGAGAUAAAUGCGAUAAAAGAAAGAAAUAUUUUUUUUUAGUUUUUUCAAAUUUUCAUUAAAAUAAAAACUUCUAAUUUUCUCUAUUACAACGGCUCCAUCUUAAGGACUGAAAAAUAAAAAUAGACUCAAAGCAGACUAACAGACUCUAAAAGAAACUGAAAUACAGACUCAAAAAGAAAAAUCAAAAAUACAUAAGUGCAUCCAAUACUACUCCAGGGGCCUGCGGGACAUCAGUCGGUCUCAACGCAGGCCUACUUGCAAGGUCUCUUUGGAGGCGGUCCAAGUCAUCCAUUAUCUUGUGUGAGCACCUAAUUUUUUCCCCGCAUGGAAAGAACUCCUAAAAAUAGACCAAAAAUAAUUUUAAUUGAUUUUUAGGAGUUUUUCUUUAUUUUUUUUUUGUAGUUCAUGCAUUUUUUAAUAUUUUAAAAUCAUAAAAAAAUCAUGAAAAUUGUCACGUGUUAAUUUCAUGCCAUCUUAGGUUCAAUUUUCAUGUAGGAAUUAAUUUUAUUAAGCAAAAAAUCACAAAAAUGGUCAUUUGUACAUAUUUUGAUUUUAGCCUUCAAAAUUAGCAUUUUUCUUUAGUUUUAAGUUAAUUAGUUAUUUUAAUGUUUAAAAUAUACAAAGAAUUUUAAUUUCUACAAAAAUAGAUUGAUUUAGGAUUUUAAAAUCAAAAAAAAGAAAAAAAAGAAAAAAAAAGGGGGAAAGGCUAUUUUUUGGUCUAAUUCGGACUGGACCAAUUUUCAUGACCCAAUUCUCUCAAAAUCUACCCAAUUCCCACACAAAACCCAAGCACAUCCCCUUUACCCUCAUAUAAUAAAAAGCUACACCUAGACCUAAUGAAGAAAAAAGAGAUUAGACCCCUUCAUCAGAGAAAAAACAACGCAUCUGGGAAUUCUUGCUUCUUCUCCUUUUUUUCAUUUUGACUUCACACACACGAAAGAGGGCUAAAAUUUCACUUGCAUGAAAGAAUCAUCGAAGAAACCUAAUCUGUUUUGAAAUUCAAAAUUUAAGAAGAUUUGAAAUUCACUUGUAGCGAGAAAAAAGUGUUCAGCAACUGAAGCACAUCAGUGAAGAUCUGAAAAUGCAAGGUUCUAAAAAUAAAAGAGAUUUGAGAGGAUCGAUUGAGUCCUGUUGAUUGGCUUUGUGAAUUUUGGGAUUUCAAAAUUGUUUGAACUCUGAAACCUCCUGUUAUUUCACUGUUCCUGCCGGAAAUUAGCAGAUGAGUCCCAACCCUUCUUCUGUCUGGUCUUUAUUUGGCAUUUCUAGUCAAUUCUCACACACAUAGAUAAAUCUUAUGGGGUUGUAAUGAGUUCUCUUGAAACUGGGUUUGCAAUUGUAUUGGAAUCAAGAUAGUAUUUUGGUGCUAUUUCUUUAAGUUUCUGAAUAAGCUAAGCUUGGUAUUCAUCUUCAAAAUAUGGGUCCUGAAUUCAGAUCCCUUCUUCGGUACAUUUUUAUCAUCUAUUUGGCAGCAUCUUUUAUUUUUGCUUUUUUCUUUUUUUGGUUUUGUCUUCCUUAUUUUCUUUAAUUGUGCUCUUUGGAAUUAGCUUAAACUUGUUAAUACUAAACCAAUGUUAUCUCUUGUGAUCAUAUCUUCAGCACGUGAGUGCUCAUUUAGAGUAAGAUUUUGAACAUUCUAUGUGAGUUUCAUAUUGGUUCAAAUGUUGGAUUGUGGUUUUCAAUUAAUUACAUUUUAAUUACUCAAUUACUAGCUCUUCUAAGAAAUUUUCUGUUCCAAGAACUAAGGUCAAUCAAGUUAUGUAGAAUUAAUUGUUAUAUAGUUGAUAUGCUGUAUAGGAAGUAUAUGUGGGGAUUAUAAUGCCAUUCGUAGUAUUGCUUUAGGCACGUAAAUUAACUAUCGUGACUAUGGGUAUGGUUCUCGUGAUAUAGUCAUGGUAUAUAAUCCCCAUUUCGGCCGUGCAUUUCAUGUGAUCCGAUCGUAACAACUUUGAACUUUAAUAAAAAUAAAUAUGUCACGAGCCGCGGGUGCAUUUUAUGUAGUGUGGUUUGCGGUGUGCUCCAAAACGGCAAGUGUACGACAUUCGUAACUUGUUCAAGAAAUAAUUUCAUAAAUCCUAAAAGCGGAUUGAGAUCAUUAAAAGCUAUUAUAAUGUUUAAAAAAUGCACACUAGGUUUCAAAACAUGUAAUAAAUCAGAUAAUUAGGCCAAUUAUUAAUAGUUAAGCGAUCGUGCUAGAACCACGGAACCUAGGAAUGCCUAACACCUUCUUCCGGGUUAACAAAAUUCCUCACCUAGAUUUUCUGGUUUCGCAGACUUUUAAAUAAAGUCGAUUUCCUCGAUUUGGGAUUUAAAACGAACUUAUGACUUGGGACACCCUAAAUUUUCCCAAGUGGCGACUUUGAAAAAGAAAUAAAAUAAUCCCAUUUCGAUUGAUGUCACUUUAAUUGGAAAAAUUCCCUUAUAUACCCCUCUCGAAUGGUAAAAAGGAGGUGUUACAGCUCUGGCGACUCUGCUGGGGAUAAGAACCCAGAACUUUUGGUUCAGGGUUCAAAAUUCGAGCUUAGAAUAGUUGUUAUACUUGUAUUUAUUAUGUGAUUUUUACAUGUUUGAGCCUAAUGUGCUAAAUGCCGCUUUUUAUCGCUUUUGAUAUUGUUUGGAUUGUAUAUAAAUUGUUACCAAACCCUCUUCUCUCUCAGUCUUCUAAAUCAUCUGGGAAGUGUGCACUUUGUGUGACUUCUUUUCUGUUAGAGUCAUAUCCCAAUUUUAGAACGAGGUUCGGUCAAGUUGCAAAGCUAGUGAAGCUUCUGUAUUCCCGGUAUGCUGCCUCCCCCCUCCCCGGCUUGAGCUGUCCGCUCGAGUAAGUCAGGUCUAGAACAAUACACCCAUGUUUUUAAACCUAGAAUAACAUAGCCUCAUGCCGGAUCCCUAAUAGAAACGCGUGUUUGCAUCACGUGCAUUUAACUUUAGGUACUCAACACAAGGGUUGGAUCCGUCUAAGACAGGUGUACCCACAUUAAAAGACCAUCCUGAUGCAUCUUACGUGCUAUUUGCACAUCUGUUUAUUUCGACUUGCAUGUAGAUCGGCUUCUAGAAUAGGGAAAGAAAAUUUAAAAAAAAAAAGAAAAAAAAAACAAGAGUGAGGUAGGUAUUUGGAAAAUUCCGAAACUCUGCCGAAAUUCUGAAAAAGAAAAAAAAGAAAGAAAAGAAAAGUCAUUUCAAAAUGAGCCAAAAUUUUCAACUGCCUUGUUCCGUCAAAACUGACCGAACUACGCGGGUCUGAUUCUCACCAGAUUUGAGAUACGUAGGUAAACCUCAUCGGUUCCGGCCCCAAUUUUUUAAAAAUUGAAAAAUAUUUUCCUUUAAUUCCUUCUUUAGAAAUCUUUCCUUAGAAAAUUCAAAAACAUAAUUUUUUUUAACUCAAAAAAAAGUGAUUUCCUUCUUUCUAAGAAAUUUUGUUUUCCAAGAACUAAGGUCAAUCAAGUUAUGUGGAAUUAAUUGUUAUAUAGUUGAUAUGCUGUAUAGGAAGUAUAUGUGGGGAUUAUAAUGCCUUUCGUAGUAUUGCUUUAGGCGCGUAAAUUAACUAUCGUGACUAUGAGUAUGGUUUCUGUGGCAUAGUCAUGGUAUAUAAUCCCUAAUUCGGGCGUGCAUUUAAUGUGACCCGAUCGUAAAAACUUUGAACUUUAAUAAAAACAAACAUGUCACGAGUUGCAGGUGCAUUUUAUGUAUUGUGGUUUGCGGUAUGCUCCAAAACGGCAAGUGUACGACAAUCGUAACUUGUUCAAGAAAUAAUUUCAUAAAUCCUAAAAGUGGGUUGAGAUCAUUAAAAGCUAUUAUAAAGUUUAAAAAAUGCACACUAGGUUUUAAAACAUGUAAUAAAUCAGAUAAAUAGGCCAAUUAUUAAUAGUUAAGCGAUCGUGUUAGAACCACGGAACCCAGGAAUGCCUAACACCUUCUUCCGGGUUAACAGAAUUCCUUACCUAGAUUUUCUGGUUUGGCAAACUUUUAAAUAAAGUUGAUUUCCUCGAUUUGGAAUUUAAAACGAACUUGUGACUUGGGACACCCUAAAUUAUCCCUAGUGGCGACUCUGAAAAGAAAUAAAAUAAUCCCAUUUCGAUUUAUGUCACUUUAGAUGGAAAAAAUUCCCUUAUAUACCCCCUCUCGGGUAGUAAAAAAGAGGUGUUACAGCUCUGGCGACUCUGCUGGGGUUAAGAACCCAGAACUUUUGGUUCAGGGUUCAGAAUUCGAGCUUAGAAUAGCUGUUAUACUUGGCUUUAUUAUGUGUUUUACAUGUUUGAGCCCAAUGUGCUAAAUGUUGCUUUUUACCGUUUUGAUAUUGUUUAGACUGUAUAUAAAUUGUUACGAAACCCUCUUCUCUCUGAGUCUUCUAAAUCAUCUCGGAAAUGUGCACUUUGUGUUACUUCUUUUCUGUUAGAGUCAUAUCCCAAUUUUAGAACGAGGUUCGGUCAAGUUGCAAAGCCGGUGAAGCUUCUGUAUUUCGGAUACACUCCCCCCUCCUCGGCUUGAGCUAUCCGCUCGGGUAAGCCAGGUCUAGAACAAUACACCCAGGUUUUUAAACCUAGAAUAAUAUAGCCUAAUGCCGGAUCACUAGUAGGAACGCUUGUUUUCAUCACGUGCAUUUGACUUUGGGGAUUCAACACAGGGGUUGCGUCCGUCUAGGAUAGGUGUACCCACAUUAUAAGACCAUCCUGAUGCAUCUUACGUGCUACUUGCACAUCUGUUUAUUUCGACAUGCAUGUUGACCGGUUUCUAGAAUAGGGAAUGAAAAUUUAAAAAGAAAAAAGAAAAAAGAAAAAAAACAAGAGUGAGGUAGGUAUUUGGAAAAUUCCGAAACUCUGCCGAAAUUCUGGAAAAAAAAAGAAAGAAAAGAAAAGUCAUUCCAAAAUGAGCCAAAAUUUUCAACUGCCUUGUUUCCCUUGUUCUGUCAAAACUGACCAAACUACGCGGGUCUGAUUCUCAUCGGAUUUGAGAUACGUAGGCAAACCUCAUCGGUUCCGGCCCCAAUUUUUAAAAAAUCCAAAAAUACUUUAGAAAUCUUUCCUUAGAAAAUUCAAAAAAAGAAGUUUUUUUUUAAACUCCAAAAAAGUGAUUUCCUUCUUUCUGAAGUCUUUCAUACGGAAAAAAGAAAUAAAAAGAAAAAAAAUCAAAAUCAAAAAAAACUAUCAAAAUCCAAAAUACGGGUUUCCUUUCUUUUGACGUAUUUUUUCAAAAACAAAUUUUAAAAAAAAAGGAAUCGAAAAAAUAUAUUCUUUUCUUUCUUCCGUAAAUGUAAAAAAAAUUGAAAAAUUGAAGUUCAAAAAUAUUUUCGCUUUUCUUUAGAAGUACUUUUGUAAAUAAAUAAAAAACUUAGAAAUCCAAAACAUUUUCUUAAAAGUCCCUCUUUCAAAAAUUAAGAGGCAACAUCCAAAAUCAAAAAAUAUUUUCUUUCUUCUUUAGAAAAAGAAAAAACAAAUGAAAAUUCAAACAAAAAUAUUUUCUUUUUACUUUUAAAAUUCCCAAAGUUCAAAUCAAAAGAAAAGGAAUUUUUUAGAAGUCUUCCNNNNNNNNNNNNNNNNNNNNNNAAAGAAAAGAGGUACAUACUGAAAGGGUUAGUUAAGGCCGGGAUGAAACAUGUAACCGUUCAAACACAUGGUAGAAGCGUUUAACUGUUAGGUGCAUUGCAUCCGAACGUGCGAUUUCUUAUAUGUUAAAUGUUUCAAAACUAUCAAGGUUGUUGGGUGUACAAAUUAGCCAGGUUCUGUUCAGGUGGAUGGUUUUGUUGGUAAUCUAGUUUCCCACAUUUACUUCACAACAAAGGAAAGGUUCCUAUGGCCUCUGAAAGCGAUCUACAAAUCAUCGAUCUUGAGGAUAGCCUGGAACCGGCUAUUCCACAACCAGAAUCAGCAGUUGCUGAAGAGAAUAGGAUGUUGCGUCUUCGCAUAUUGAAAAUGUAGGACGCCUGGUCUAAUGGUAGGGAACCGCCAAGUGCAAUCCCUGUGUUCCCUAAGUUGAUCCCCAGGUCAGGUGAGGUUACCAACGCCCCUGUGCCUAACUCGCUCAUCCCAUGCGGGCACCCUCCAAUGCCGUCCAAUAUUCCUUGCAUGCCUUCUGUGGUUUGCCCCCAGGUGCCAGUUUCCAUGGCACCUCCAAUAUUGUUCUCUAUAGCACCAGUCUGCACCAGAGCACAACCAACUUUAUCACGGCCGUAUAUUGAGCCUCCAAUGUUCACCUUUCUGGGUCCACAGCUUCAAUUAGAAAUAAUAUAUGUGACCCCAUACUGUUUCACUCAACCUCCGCAAUAUGAUCUCUUGGUAGAGCAAGAAAAGGUUGUUAAAAAUCCCGAGCAAGAGGAAAUGGCUCGGAAGAUGAGGAGCCUGGAUCAAAGCCUGAAACACAUGCAAGGUCUGAGUGGCCAAAAGAGUGUCUCAUACUCUCACCUCUGUAUGCUUCCCCAUGUCCACUUGCCAGCUGGUUUCAAGAUGCCCAAAUUUAAAAAGUACGAUGGGCAUGGAGACCCGAUCGCUCACCUGAAAUGAUAUUGUAACCAGUUGAGAGGUGUUGGAGGAAAAGAGGAGUUACUUAUGGCCUAUUUUUUGGAAAGCCUCACCGGAACCGCUUCUGAGUGGUAUACGGAUCAAGAAAUUACUCAUUGGCACGUGUGAGAUGAUAUGGCCAGAGAAUUCUACCAGUUCUAAUAUAAUGUGGACAUCGCCCCCGACAGAAACACUUUGUCCAAUUUGAAAAAGAAAAUCGCGGAAAGCUUCUGCGUGAAUAUGCAGUCAAAUGGCGUGAGCAAACUGCUAGGGUAAAGCCUCCAAUGGACAAAUUUGAAAUGGUCGCUGUCUUUUUAUAGGCCCAAGAGGUGGACUACUUCCAGAAAAUGAUGUCCACUAUAGGAAAGCCAUUUGCUGAGGCUAUCAAAAUUAGGGAGAUGGUAGAAAGUGGGGUAAAAACGGGUCGAAUUUUGAGUCUUGCUGAUUUUAAAGCCACAUCACCAGAUGUUCAAAAUGAUUCAGAGGGUUUGAGAAAUGGAAACGGGAGAGAAGAAGGAGCCAUGAUGGCUUCCAGCUCGAGAGGGACCCGCAGGUCAUUCAACCAAUUAUAUAUGCUUUCUGAGGUCCCUCAACAUUAUUAUCCCCUUCAAGAUGCUGCUUAUGCCAUGGCACCACCUCCUUAUGUGGUGAUGAACGCGCAACCUUACAUGCGGUCACAACAUCAUACACAAAACCGAGCUCCACCUCCCAUAAAUGCUCAUCCUUACCAAGCUCUAUAUAAUCCUCAACCAAAUGAUCCCCAAUACAAUCCUCGCCCGAGAGAGCCUUUCAGAAAGAAUCAAUUCACGCCUAUUGGUGAAUCGUAUUCAAGCUUGUUCCAAAAGCUAAUCAGGCUAAAUCUAUUGCAGUCAGUGGCCCCUGAAUUAGCCAAACCUCGAGUCCCAAUCGCACCGAGCUGAUGCUAGGUGUGAAUACCAUUCUGGAGCAGUGGGACACAAUAGAGGACUGUUGGACCCUCAAAAGGGUAGUUGAAGAUUUGAUUGAAGCUGAAAGAAUUAUUUUUCAGGAUGAAGAAGCUCCUGAUGUGAUGAACAAUCUGUUGCCUGCCCACAACAAUGGGCCAAUAGUCGGAAUGAUUCGCAAAGUUGAGGAAUUUUAUCCGGCACUGAAGGCCAUUGCAGCCAUUGCUGAGAUAGAAGAAAAGCCAAAAAAUGGUUGUCAGGCAUGAAAGUUCCCCAUCAGACGGGAGUCUUAGUAGUCAGUCUUGCUAUCCUUUUUGCGUCCGGAUUAUCUCAGGAUGUCAUCCGAAUGUUUUACUUUAUUGUCUUACUUUCCGAUGUCAAUCCUUCUAUUUUAAAAAAUUAAAAAAAAUCAAAAAAAAAAUAAAAAAUAAAAAAAUCAAAUGAAAUUAAUAUUUCAUUGUCCGGGAAUGUCUCGUUUCUUAAUUUCACAUUUCUUAUUCUCUUUUUAGUGUUAUUAAAUGCAGAUUUCAAUAACAUGACAUGCUUGCGGACUUCAUGCCCAGAUCCGGAAACGCUGUCAGACCUCGAAAUAAUGAAUCAAGAAUUAGAUCGCGAUGAAGAAAAGUUUAAGAACAUAAAACAAAGAGUUGGAACAGCUGAAUGAAAAUUGGUUCCAGAUUGGAAAGGUCCAUACUUUGCGACAAGAGUACUUCCAAAAGAGUGCGUGGUACUUGGGACACAUAGAAGGAAAUGUCCAUGUAACAAUUGUCAAUGUAAAUGCAACCAAAAUAUACUAUGUUUGAUCCUCCAUAUAGUAUUAAUAUUUUUCGGUUGGGAUGACUAAGGCUUUCAUUCUCGCUACCCAAACACCAUUAACCCUUUUUUGUAAACCAUUUGAGCUGGUUACUCUUCUUUGAUUACCCUCUUCUGAACCUGAAAGUGUUAUUGAAAAAAAAACUGAAAAAUGAGGAAAAGGAAAGGAAAAAAAGAGGAAAAGGAAAGGAAAAAGAAAGAGAAAACAAAAACAAAGUUUCCUGAACUACGUUCGACUUGAUUCCGAAAGGAUACGUAGGCAGCCCCUCACUGGGGAUUCAGUCACACCAAAACAAAAAUCCAAAUUCCCCAAAAGUUGAAACUGGGGCAGAAGUUAUAAUGGUUCGGCGAUGGUUUCGCCAGAAAGGUUCAAAAGUUGUAAUUCAAUCCAAAUUCUUUUUACCCCAAAUCAUGUUCAAGUCCUUCCGAUCAAUCAAUGAGAAUGUUCAAGGAUCGAAGAAUGCAGUUACUUGGAUCCGGAGCAAUCAAAAUGAGAGAAAUAAAAUGAGAGAGUCUUAUUGGUGAAAACCCACACGGGCACCGUAAGGCGAUGGUGAGCAGAGAAAUUUAAAAUGAGAGAGUCUUGUUAGUGAAAACUUGCAAAAAGCACUAUAAGGCGAUGGUGAGAAGAGAAAUGAGAGAGAUCAGCUCGUGAAAACCCGCAAAGGGCGCCCCUAAUCGAAAAAAGGAUCCUCGCAACCAUCAGUAUCAACAGAGUCCUGGCAAGGUUCCUGGGUUUCAAGGAAAGUUGUGAUGAAUUUCGGGUUCCUGAUGACCUUUCCGGCAUAACCCGAUGACUUCCCCGGCAUAACUCGAGGACCUUUCUGGCAUAACCCGAUGACUUCCCCGGCAUCACCCGAGGACCUUUCCGGCAUAACCUGAUGACUUUCCAGGCAUAACCCGAGAAUUUUUCCGGCAUAACUCGAUGAUUUUUCCAGCAUAACCUGGUAAUUUUUUCCAACAUAGGGUUCCAUUCCCUAGCUGAUGCCAUCAUAACCUAGUAAUCUUUUCCAACAUAGGAUCCCACACCCUAGCUUUGCCAGUAUAACCUGGUGAUCUUUUUCAGCACAGGGUCCCAUUCCUUAGUUGAUGCCAGCAUAACCUGGUAAUCUUUCCAACUUAGGACCUCCGAUUUCCAUUUGAUUUCAUUUUAGAUAUAGGGCUCUACUCCCUAAUCUCUUUUCUCCCAAGGAUAAGCAAUCCUGAUUUUAUUGCUUUCAAUAAAGGGGUAGUUUAUAUUUCUGUUACAAUAACUCACGAAAUUUUCCUAGUGAAAACUGGGGCAGAAAAUUUCGUUUGUUUGUUUGUUUUGGUUCCUAAGCAGGUUUUUACCUUGAGGCACAAGUUUCAAGGAGACCAAAAGAAGAAGUCUUGAUUCAAAUAAAAGAAAAGAAAAACAAGAAAAGAAAAACAAGAAAAGAAGUGAGCUCUAAGUGUAGAAGCGGAGAAAAAAUGCGGACUACUCAAGAUAUGAUUGAAGUCACAAGCUUUGCAUGUCCCGCCUUGUUCCGAAAAGCUGAAGAAGAAUAAACCAACGAUUAUAGCAAACGAGUAUCAUGAUUCAGAUAAGAGUUUGUAGGAAGAACCAGCCAAGACUCAAGAUCAAGUUUAGCUUUUUAUUUUUAUUUUGGUGUAAUAAGGAGCUCAGCAAGCAGAAACAGCAGCAACAGCAGUGGAAUCACAGUUUCUUGAUAGUCCCAACUACCAAAACUUCCAGAACUACACCAACCUGGUUCCUUUAUAGCCAAGGAUAUGUAUGCAACCUCCGAAGCAAGGUUCGGUCAAACUUUUUCAAAAUACUUCCAAAUGGAGUUUCAAACGAGCAAAAAUUGCUCGUAGUUGCUCAAUUUAUCUUUGCCCAAAAACUCUUCAUGUUUCCGAGCAAAGAGGGGCAACUGUGAGCACCUAAUUUUUGCCCCGCAUGGAAAUCACUCCUAGAAAUAGACCAAAAAUAAUUUUAAAUGAUUUUUAGGAGUUUUUCUUUAUUUAGUAGCAUUUCAUGCAUUUUUAAUAUUUUAAAAUCAAAGAAAAAUCAUAAAAAUUAUCACGUUUUAAUUUCAUGCCAUCUUAGGUUCAAUUUGCAUGUAGGAAUUAAUUUUAUUAAGCAAAUAAUCACAAAAAAUGGUCGUUUUUACAUAUUUAGAUUUUAGCCUUUAAAAUUAGCAUUAUUCUUUAGUUUUAAGUUAAUUAGUUGUUUUAAUAUUAAAAUAGAUAUAAAAUUUUAAUUUCUACAGAAAUAGAUUGAUUUAGGAUUUUAAAAUCAAAAAAAGAAAACAAAGAAAUAAAAAGGGGGAAAAGGCUAUUUUUGUUCUAAAUUUGGGCUGGGCCAAUUUUCAUGGCCCAAUUCCCUCAAAAUCCACCCAAUUCCCACACACAACCCAAGCCCAUCCCCUUUACCCUCAUCUGAUAAAAAGCUAGACCUAGACCUAACGAAGAAAAAAGAGACCAAACCCCUUCAUCAGAGAAAAAACGGCGCAUCUGGGAAUUCUUGCUUCUUCUUCAUUUUUACAUUUUGACUUCACACAUACAAAAUAGUGCUAAAAUUCACUCACAUGAAAGAAGCAUCAAAGAAACCUAAUCCGUUUUGAAAUUCAAAAUUUAAGAAGAUUUGAAAUUCACUAGUAGCGAGAAAAAAGCGUUCAGCAGCUGAAGCACAUUAGUGAAGAUCUGAAAAUGCAAGGUUCUAAAAAUGAAAGAGAUUUGAGAGGAUCGAUUGAGUCCUGUUGAUUGGCUUUGUGAAUUUGGGGAUUUCAAAACUUUUCGAACUCUGAAACCUCCUGUUAUUUCACUGUUCCUGCCGGAAAUUAGCAGCUGAGUCCCAACCCUUCUUCUGUCUAGUCUUUAUUUGGCGUUUCUAGUCAAUUCUCGCACACAUAGAAAAAUCUUAUGGGGUUGUAAUAAGUUCUCUUGAAACUGAAUUUGCAAUUUUAUUGGAAUCAAGAUGGGAAUUUGGCGCUCUUUCUUUGAGUUUCUAAAUAAGCUAAGCUUGGUAUUCAUCUUCAAAAUAUGGGUCCUGAAUUCAGAUCCCUUCUUCAAUAUAUUUUUAUUAUCUAUUUGGCAGCAUCUUUUAUUUUUACUUUUUUCUCUUUUGGUUUUAUCUUCAUUAUUUUCUUUUAUUGUGCUCUUUUGAAUUAGCUUAAACUUGUUAAUACUAAACCAAUGUUAUUUCUUGCGAUCAUAUUUUCAUCACGUGAGUGCUCAUUCAAAGUAAGUUUUUAAACAUUUUAUGUGAGUUUCUUAUUGGUUCGAAUGUUUGAUUAUGGUUUUCAAUUAAUUACCUUUUAAUUACUCAAUUACUAGCUCUUCUAAGAAAUUU